rnacentral:rRNA from 1 species
CCUACGGGGUGCAGCAGUCGAGAAUCAUUCACAAUGGGGGAAACCCUGAUGGUGCGACGCCGCGUGGGGGAAUGAAGGUCUUCGGAUUGUAAACCCCUGUCAUGUGGGAGCAAAUUAAAAAGAUAGUACCACAAGAGGAAGAGACGGCUAACUCUGUGCCAGCAGCCGCGGUAAUACAGAGGUCUCAAGCGUUGUUCGGAAUCACUGGGCGAAAAGCGUGCGUAGGCUGUUUCGUAAGUCGUGUGUGAAAGGCGCGGGCUCAACCCGCGGACGGCACAUGAUACUGCGAGACUAGGGUAAUGGGGGGGGAACCGGAAUUCUCGGUGUAGCAGUGAAAUGCGUAGAUAUCGAGAGGAACACUCGUGGCGAGGGCGGGUUCCUGGACAUUAACUGACGCUGGGGCACGAAGGCCAGGGGAGCGAAAGGGAUUAGAUACCCUGGUAGU